rnacentral:tRNA from 1 species
GCCCGCGUUCAGCGGUGGAACAGCUCACUCGUAAUGAGCAGGUCAGCGGUUCGAGUCCGCUCGUCGGCU